AUAAACGUGUGCAGAAGGAUCCUGUUGCAGUGUCAUUCUUCCUGGCCAGUUGGGCGCGUGCAAGACAUAUGGACCAUAUGAGUGUUCUCAGAUCCUUGAAGAGGAUGUCUUUAUUGCACCAAGGAUAUGGUGGUUUUUUACUACAUCCUGAAAAAGCCUCCAUUUCUCUUCACCCUGGAACAACGGAAAGAUCUGUAUGUAAUGAAUGAAGAAAGAACCUGAGAAAAUAAUGAAGCAAACUUUUCCCCAAAUAAUUCCUAUGUUUUAAAAAUUCUUGUUUCUGGAGUCAUUUGAGAAACAAUCCAACCUCUUGCUAUGUACAUCUAUACAGUUCACUCUGCAAUCCCUUCUUAUUUGCUGCAUGUGUCAUCCCAUUGCCUAAUGUAAGUGGUUUCAAAGCUCUGGACAGUGUCCUCUUGUGCAUCUGUAUCCCCUCUUCUCUCCUGCUACAUUUCAUUCUUGGGAGUCCUAACAAUUGCUGCUCCUUCCUUCUUUUGUAUGAAUUUUUGUUAUGAACUCUCUUCCUUUCAUUAUAUAAAACGUAUUUAUUAUUUUGUAUUUGUGUUAAUUUUUUUGCCUACACAUCUAUGUGCACUACAUCUAUUCCCUGAGCCCUCCAAGAUCAGAAGAUGAUGUAAGAGUCUCUGAAACUGGAAUUAUAGUUGGCUGUGUACACAUAUUGGUGAUGUAUAUAGUCUUCAGUCCUCUACAAGAUCACCAAGUGUUUUAAUUACUGAGACAUCUUUCCAGGCUCCCGGAAGUUUUUGGAGACUUACUUGAUGCAAGCUAUUUUUUUUAGUCUUAUUA